CUUUCUCUUUCUUCUUUUUUUUCUUUCUUCUUUCUUUCUUUCUUUUUUUGUAUUUUAGUAGAGAUGGAGUUUUGCCAUGUUUUCCAGGCUGAUCUCAAACUUCUGAUUACAAAAAAUCCACCUGCCUCAGCCUCCCAAAGCAUUGGAAUUACAGGCAUGAGCCAUCACAGCUGUCUACAAUAUACUUUUACAUUUAUGAUUUAGGUGAUGUGUUCUCUUUCUGUCAGGUGCGGGAUGGUUAAAUAUCACUGGACCUAGCACCUAGGUAAUGUGACUCUUGUCUUUUGCAUCAGCUCCACACGUUUUGAGAACUGUAACAUAUCACUGGGCCAAACACCUAGAAGAUGGGAAGUGUCUGCCUAUGCCCUGCAAACAGGGCUUUAGCCCUACCACUCUCAAGAGCCUCGUGACAUAUCUCUGCAUUCAUCAUCUAGGAGAUGUGACUCCUCCCUGCUGCCUGCACUCUGCCUACAGGGAAGACCAUAACAACAUUUGGCCCAGCAACACGGUGAUGUGUUUUUUCCCAGGGCCUUGCUCACAGGGAGCAUUGUGACAUAUCACUGGAACCAGCAUCCAGGGCUGUGACUCUGUGUCUUGCUGUUAGAACAGGAUUGUAACCUAUCACUGGCCAAGCACCCAGGUGAUGUGACUUUUCUGCCUGGUGCCUGCCUUCAGGGAAAAUUGUGACAUAUGCCUGGCCUAACACCAAAGUGAUGUGGCUCUCCUGCUACCUCUAUGCACAGGUGGGAUUGUGACAUAUAUCUUCAUUCAGCUCAUAGGCCUGCCUGCAGGGGAUAUGGUGACAUUUUACUUUGCCCAACACCAAAUGACUUGAAUCUGCUGCCUUUGUUCCACUUUCAGAAGACAUUGUGACAUAUCGCUGGGCCUAGCACCAAGGUGAUGUGAGUCUCCUGCCUGGACCUACUCACAGAGGGAAUUGUUACAUAUUUUUGACUUCAUCAACUAUUUGAUGUGACUCUCC
rnacentral:lncRNA from 1 species